AUUCUCACUAAUUGGACCAAUCCAUGUUGUUGGAGCUAUAUUUUUAUUUUUGUUUAUUUUGGGUUUAAGUUAAUUUAUAGCCUUACUUAUUUCUUUUUCUUUUCCUGUUAAAGUUAAUUUGGUGUAUUUUGUAUUCAUGCUUUACUCGUAUUGUCGUUUAUUGGUCACAUGGUGUUAUGUUCAUUUGCAUAAGUAGGUCAAGGUGGGAGGUACUUCAGGCUCGAGGGCAUAUGGUUUUUUACCAGCGUGAGAGAGGCAGCAGAAAUGUCUGUGAGCUUGCUUAUGUGUGUGAAUAAACCGCCUCAAACUCAAUCUUGUUAUGGACAUUACUUUGCUUUGGUACCUCUGAACCUGCGUAAAGCCUAACCAUGACGUAGCCUCGAGUGGCCAUUUGAGAAGUUUGUUAUUAUUUGUUUUUGUUUAAGUUUAUGGACAAAUAGCCACUACAAUAAGUAAAAAACCCGCCCUGGAUAUAUCGUUGGUUUACGUGGAUACUGGACUUGUCGUUUGCUGGAUUACCGUUUCGAAAGUGGAUUACUCACCUGGAUGCGGGAGACAAACAAAGGAAAGGGCCUAGGAGUGACGGAGGUGUGGGCUGGAUACAGUGCAAACAUCGAAUAAUACGACCCAUCCGACAGUGUAAAGUUUCCCUGGACACCGUACUGGAUAACGGUGAAGCUACUGGAGCGCUGGAGCUGCACUACGGAGUGGAGGAUAUUAUUUGCUGCAAUUUGAAUUCGCAAAGGCCCAAAGCCUUCACAGGUAACGCGCACGGCCGCGCGCAACAACAGCUACUGCGUGCAUUCAACUCCGUGUACAAAGGCAACCACCGCAACAAACAAAGUUCCACAAGCAACAUCAGAGCAGUGGGUUUGGAGAACAUGGAUUUGGACAGGGACCAACUCCCUGUGGAAAGAGCUCUGGGGAUGCAAUGGUGUGUUCAAGGAGAUACGUUCAGCUUCAGGACUGCAGUGCAGGAACGUCCACACACUAGAAGGGGCAUCCUUUCUGUGGUGAGCUCUCUUUACGACCCGCUGGGUUUUUUGUCUCCUUUCAUAAUCCCUGCCAAGUUACUGUUACAGGAGCUGUGCAGAAUGAACUUCAAAUGGGAUGAGCCAGUUCCCUGUGAUGUCUCUGAACAUUGGUCUGAGUGGCUCUCUGAACUUCAACAUAUGAGUGGAUUUAAAGUGGAACGGUGCAUUAAACCCAAAAACUUUGGAACACAAUUGAAAGCAGAACUGCAUCAUUUUUCAGAUGCUAGUCAAAUGGGAUAUGGCACUGUUUCAUACUUGAGAUUGGAGAGCACUGACAAUGUGCAUGUUUCAUUUAUCACAGGCAAAGCUCGUGUCGCUCCUCUAAAGCAACUAACCAUUCCACGCCUUGAGCUUGCUGCAGCUGUGCUUGCUGUUCGAGUGAACACAAUGCUGUUGAAAGAGCUACAGUUGCCAUUGCAAAGGUCAUUCUUUUGGACCGAUAGCACUACUGUUCUCAAGUACAUCUUUAAUGAAACAAAGCGCUUUCACACAUAUGUUGCCAAUCGUGUCAGCACCAUAAGAGAAUCCACAGACAAAGAUCAGUGGAGGUAUGUAAACACCAAAGACAAUCCUGCAGAUGAAGCUUCUCGAGGACUAAGAGCUCAGGAGUUUGGAAAAGGAAAAUGGCUAAAAGGACCGGACUUUUUGCACUUGCCCCCCACCAGAUGGCCGAAACUCGACUUGGACGCCUCUUCCAUUCCAUCGGAUGAUGCAGAGGUGAAAAGGGAACUUAAGAUAUGGAGAAUCCGAAGAUGUGAAGAUUCCAGUUUAAUGCUUAAGCUACAAUUAGAAAAUAGCUCCUUUGUGUUAAAGCUAAGGUUAAUUGUGGGUAAAGUACCGUUACAAUUAGGGGCUGGGUUGUUGGAGCUAUAUUUUUAUUUUUGUUUAUUUUGGGUUUAAGUUAAUUUAUAGCCUUACUUAUUUCUUUUUCUUUUCCUGUUAAAGUUAAUUUGGUGUAUUUUGUAUUCAUGCUUUACUCGUAUUGUCGUUUAUUGGUCACAUGGUGUUAUGUUCAUUUGCAUAAGUAGGUCAAGGUGGGAGGUACUUCAGGCACGAGGGCAUAUGGUUUUUUACCAGCGUGAGAGAGGCAGCAGAAAUGUCUGUGAGCUUGCUUAUGUGUGUGAAUAAACCGCCUCAAACUCAAUCUUGUUAUGGACAUUACUUUGCUUUGG
ensembl:lncRNA